UACGUAGGGGGCAAGCGUUGUCCGGAUUUAUUGGGCGUAAAGAGCGUGUAGGCGGCCAAGCAGGUCCGCUGUGAAAACUCGAGGCUCAACCUCGAGACGUCGGUGGAAACCGUUUGGCUAGAGUCCGGAAGAGGAGAGUGGAAUUCCCGGUGUAGCGGUGAAAUGCGCAGAUAUCGGGAAGAACACCGGUGGCGAAGGCGGCUCACUGGUCCGGUACUGACGCUGAGGUGCGAAAGCGUGGGGAGCAAACAGG
rnacentral:rRNA from 1 species